AACGUAGGACACAAGCGUUAUCCGGAGUUACUGGGCGUAAAGCGCGUUAAGGCGGUCGGCAAAGUUGGUUGUGAAAUCUCAGGGCUCAACCCUGAAAUUGCGACCAAUACUGGUCGACUAGAGUGUGAGAGAGGAAGGUGGAAUUCCCGGUGUAGUAGUGAAAUGCGUAGAUAUCGGGAGGAACACCAGUGGCGAAGGCGGCCUUCUGGCUCAUAACUGACGUUGUAGCGCGAAAGCGUGGGGAGCGAACCGG
rnacentral:rRNA from 1 species